UACGGAGGGUGCAAGCGUUGUCCGGAAUUAUUGGGCGUAAAGAGCUCGUAGGCGGUUUGUCGCGUCUGCUGUUAAAACCCGAGGCUCAACCUCGUGCCUGCAGUGGGUACGGGCAAACUAGAGUGCGGUAGGGGAGAUUGGAAUUCCUGGUGUAGCGGUGGAAUGCGCAGAUAUCAGGAGGAACACCGAUGGCGAAGGCAGAUCUCUGGGCCGUAACUGACGCUGAGGAGCGAAAGCGUGGGGAGCGAACAGG
rnacentral:misc_RNA from 1 species